UCCGAUAUAGUGUAGGGGCUAUCACAUCACGCUCUCAUUAACCGUGGAGACCGGGGUUCGAUUCCCCGUAUCGGAG